rnacentral:rRNA from 1 species
UACGGAGGGUGCAAGCGUUAAUCGGAAUUACUGGGCGUAAAGCGUGCGCAGGCGGUUUUGUAAGUCUGUCGUGAAAUCCCCGGGCUCAACCUGGGAAUUGCGAUGGAGACUGCAAGGCUUGAAUCUGGCAGAGGGGGGUAGAAUUCCACGUGUAGCAGUGAAAUGCGUAGAGAUGUGGAGGAACACCGAUGGCGAAGGCAGCCCCCUGGGUCAAGAUUGACGCUCAUGCACGAAAGCGUGGGGAGCAAACAGG